rnacentral:rRNA from 1 species
CGUAGGGUGCGAGCGUUAAUCGGAAUUACUGGGCGUAAAGCGUGCGCAGGCGGUUUUGUAAGCCAGAUGUGAAAUCCCCGGGCUUAACCUGGGAAUGGCAUUUGGGACUGCAAGGCUGGAGUUUGGCAGAGGAGACUGGAAUUCCUGGUGUAGCAGUGAAAUGCGUAGAUAUCAGGAGGAAUACCGAUGGCGAAGGCAGGUCUCUGGGCUAUAACUGACGCUCAUGCACGAAAGCGUGGGGAGCAAACAGGAUUAGAUACCCUGGUAGUCCACGCCCUAAACGAUGUCGACUGGUUGUUGGGGGUUUGACACUCUCAGUAACGAAGCUAACGCGUGAAGUCGACCGCCUGGGGAGUACGGCCGCAAGGUUA